rnacentral:rRNA from 1 species
CCUACGGGUGGCAGCAGUGGGGAAUCUUGCGCAAUGGGCGAAAGCCUGACGCAGCGACGCCGCGUGGGUGAUGAAGGCCUUCGGGUUGUAAAGCCCUGUGGGGAGAGAAGAAUAAAGGUUGGCUAAUAUCCAACUUGAUGACGGUAUCUCCUUAGCAAGCACCGGCUAACUCUGUGCCAGCAGCCGCGGUAAGACAGAGGGUGCAAACGUUGUUCGGAAUUACUGGGCGUAAAGCGCGUGUAGGCUGCCAUGCAAGUCGGAUGUGAAAGCCCUCGGCUCAACCGAGGAAGUGCAUUCGAAACUGCAUGGCUGGAGUCUCGGAGAGGGUAGUGGAAUUCUCGGUGUAGAGGUGAAAUUCGUAGAUAUCGAGAGGAACACCGGUGGCGAAGGCGGCUACCUGGACGAUGACUGACGCUGAGACGCGAAAGCGUGGGGAGCAAACAGGAUUAGAUACCCGUGUAGUC